CGGCGGACGGGUGAGUAACGCGUGGGUAACCUACCUCAUACAGGGGGAUAACAGUUGGAAACGGCUGCUAAUACCGCAUAAGCGCACAGUACCGCAUGGUACCGUGUGAAAAACUCCGGUGGUAUGAGAUGGACCCGCGUCUGAUUAGCUAGUUGGUGGGGUAACGGCCUACCAAGGCGACGAUCAGUAGCCGACCUGAGAGGGCGACCGGCCACAUUGGGACUGAGACACGGCCCAA
rnacentral:rRNA from 1 species